CACCCGUACCUGAACACAUAGGGUGCGUGGAGGGAACGCGGGGAAGUGAAACAUCUCAGUACCCGCAGGAAGAGAAAACAACCGUGAUUCCGUGAGUAGUGGCGAGCGAAAGCGGAUGAUGGUUAAACCGUGUGCGUGUGAUACUCGGCAGGGGUUGCGUGUGCGGGGUCGUGGGACCUGUCUGAUC
rnacentral:rRNA from 1 species